rnacentral:rRNA from 1 species
GUGAACGCUGGCGGUAGGCCUAACACAUGCAAGUCGAACGGCAGCACAGUAAGAGCUUGCUCUUACGGGUAGCGAGUGGCGGACGGGUGAGGAAUACAUCGGAAUCUACUUUUUCGUGGGGGAUAACGUAGGGAAACUUACGCUAAUACCGCAUACGACCUACGGGUGAAAGCAGGGGAUCUUCGGACCUUGCGCGAUUGAAUGAGCCGAUGUCGGAUUAGCUAGUUGGCGGGGUAAAGGCCCACCAAGGCGACGAUCCGUAGCUGGUCUGAGAGGAUGAUCAGCCACACUGGAACUGAGACACGGUCCAGACUCCUACGGGAGGCAGCAGUGGGGAAUAUUGGACAAUGGGCGCAAGCCUGAUCCAGCCAUACCGCGUGGGUGAAGAAGGCCUUCGGGUUGUAAAGCCCUUUUGUUGGGAAAGAAAAGCAGCAGGUUAAUACCCCGCUGCUCUGACGGUACCCAAAGAAUAAGCACCGGCUAACUUCGUG